CGCCAGACUCCUACGGGAGGCAGCAGUGAGGAAUAUUGGUCAAUGGGCGGGAGCCUGAACCAGCCAAGCCGCGUGAAGGAAGAAGGCGCCAGGCGUCGUAAACUUCUUUUGUCGGGGAACAAAGGGCGCCACGCGUGGCGUUGUGAGUGUACCCGAAGAAAAAGCAUCGGCUAACUCCGUGCCAGCAGCCGCGGUAAUACGGAGGAUGCGAGCGUUAUCCGGAUUUACUGGGUGUAAAGGGAGCGUAGACGGUUAUGUAAGUCUGGAGUGAAAGCCCGGGGCCCAACCCCGGGACUGCUUUGGAAACUGUGUAACUAGAGUACAGGAGGGGCAGGCGGAAUUCCUGGUGUAGCGGUGAAAUGCGUAGAUAUCAGGAGGAACACCGGCGGCGAAGGCGGCCUGCUGGACUGAAACUGACGUUGAGGCUCGAAAGCGUGGGGAGCAAACAGGAUUAGAUACCCCAGUA
rnacentral:rRNA from 1 species